GUCACCUGUGCUGGCACUUGCCAUGGAAACCCCUGGCAGGCACUGAUGGCACAGACACUGGCACUCAGACACUGCUGGGCCGGGUGCUGAGCACAGGGCUGAGCACACAGAGAUGGUUUUGUUCUUGCUGAGCUCCCCCUGAGCCAAGGCCUGUCCUGCCCCUCGUCCGGCCACGCUGGGGAGGGGCUGGGGCUGUGGGGAGCUUGGCAGGGGACACAGCCAGCACAGGUGACCCCAGCUGAGCCCGGGGAUACCCCAGACCAUCGGACAUCCUGCUCUGUGUAUAAAGUGGGCGAACAAGGAGGAAGGGGGGACAUUUGGAGUGAGGGUUUUUGUCUUCCCAGGUAACACUUGGCAGGAUGGGGCCAUGUUUCACCAGAGGGCAGGGUCAGCAACAAAGACACAGACACCAACCUAAGAAAUUGUGUCAUUUAUAUCAUGCAAAACAGCAAAGAAUCACAAAAGGAUAAGCUCAGCAAAGCACAUUGUCAUUAGCAAAGUAUUACAAAAGGAGCAGCUCAGCAAUGCACCCACCCAUCACUACCCAAGAUUGCCUGCAGUGAUUAAGAAAGAUCCAGCCUCAGUCACCCUCAGGCUUUGCCAUCCCCCAGAUCCAACCUCUCUGUGAGAGGGCCCAGCUUUUACACUGUUAAACAAACAAGCUGACAUCACUGCUAGUGUGGGAACUUGUGGUUUCAUUCUCCCGUUUGCUCUCUCCCAAAGCCUGGCCAGGACUCAAGGAGGAACCAAGGGAGGUGACUUUGAUCCUACAGCCCCGAACCAAGCCAGAUGGGGCCUUGUCCUGCUUCUAAAUACAGGAAGAAAAAUACGUCUUUCAGAAAGGAACAGAUACAUAGAUCCUAUUGCUAAUAAGACUUUGUUAAUGAGCGGACACAAAUAUAGCAUUUGGUUUGAAGGUUCAUGUGGAGCUCAGCUUUGGCUCAGGGCCUGUCCUUCAGGCCUCAGUCAGGGCCUGGUGCUCAGGCCUUGGAACUUCAAUCAGUGCUUUGAUCUAUAGAGGAGGUACAAGGUUCAUAACAACUCUUUGGAUAACAGAGCGUAGAUUUAGGUGUUAUGCAUAAAGGCAGUGCCUCUUCUUCUUCAACUAAGUGCUGUUCAAGUUCAUUACUCAGAGCUAUCAUUUGAUUCCUUUUAAAACAUGCCUAAUUAGAUGCUAUUCUCUCUUCUUUAUCAAAUGCCCCAUUUUUUCUUGAGACUGUGUCUCUUUUUAGACAAGUCUCCAUUUCCAGCAUGAAGUGUCACAACAACUCGAAGACAGAAUCAUAACACACCAAGUGCUCACACUGCAAGGAUCACAGUGACUGCAUGAAUUCAUUUCACAGCAGCCUCCAACUUAGAAGCCAAUCUCACCAUGAAGAAUUUUCUUCUUGCUGCCACUCUUCUACUGAUUGUUCUGUUGAGGCGAUUCCUGAUUGUUGGACCUCAAACCCAGCACUUAUAGACAUUCCUGCAACAUUCCUGUCCCAUGGUAGCACAGGUUCCUCCUUGGCCACCAAGCAGAUAGUCCAAGGCCAUGCAGUUCUGUAGAGCCCCAUUCGUGUUUGUUGGAGCUCACGGGAUGUCCUCUCAGAUAUUUUCACAGGAGCAUCUGCUAUUUCUUCUAAUAGCUGAUUUAGCUCAUUCAUGCAAACUCCACAGGACGAGGCAGUGCACGUGGGGCACAGGGUGAACCAGAUCCUUUUGCUUUCUGAAACCCACGGCACUCCUCGGGGGGAAAGUGUUCUCUUGGCGCCAGCUCUUCCUGGUGGUUGUUGCUGAAGGACCCUAAAUGGUGGCCCUGCAGCUGGGAGUGGUGUGACACUGACACUGACCAGCUCCAGCCCUCUGAGUUCUACUGGCAUUGGGAGUGAUGGUAAAGCAGAGAAAUCCUCUCACACCGUGGCCUCUAGAACUAGAACAGGGUUUGGUUCCUCCAGAAGGGAAAUCCUAGUGAAUCCUGUCAAACUGAUCCUUGUAUCCCUGUGUUCCACAGCAGUUUUCUGUAACUGUCCCUGCUCUGACUCCAUUACCAGGCAGAGGCCAGGGACAGAGUUCUGGCCACCCCACAGGGUGGGCCCUCCAAGGGAACCCCAUUCCUCCCAGCUGCAGCUGAGAACACACCCAGCCAUCAGUGACAUUGAGUACUUUGGCUACUUUGAGCUUUAAAUUUUCAAAACAGUUUCCAUGACUAAUCCUUGGCGAACCUCUAGAGGUGUUUGUGGCAAAGAUUCUGGCUGACUCUCAAGGUACAACUUACAGAUAUCAGCAGUAUUUCAGUGACAAGGUUAAUCAUUCUUUUUCCUCAGUCUCAUGUGGGAUAAGAACAAUAAUUCUGUUGUCCAUGGAACUGGCACGUUUUUAAUUCCAGAAUAAUGCCCCCAAGGUCCUUUGCUUGUCCAUUGGGACAAACAGAGAGAUUUGGUCUGGCAGGAUGUGUAAAACAAUCUCCUGUAAUAUCUACUUGUUCUCACACAGAGCACUUGGCUGCAGGGACACAUUCCCAUUGUUCCUGCCCAGGUUUCAGGAUUCAACCAGUGCUGUCUUUCCCAGGAGCUGUUCCUUCAGCUGCCUCGGGAGGGCCUUUUGGCCUCUGGACCCACACUCUGGUUCCAUUCUUAGCACUGCUGGAUCCAAACCCUUUAUCUCCACCAACAGCAGUGAUUUGAGGUGGAUCUCCUUUUCCCCAAUUGUUUUAAAAACUGACAAUAUCAAUAAUUGUGCUACCCUGUCAUGGGUUUGAACAAUCCAAUCUUGUUCACUAUUGUUUAACCAAUUUCCUUCAAUUUCUCCUUGAUAAUCUGCAUCAGUUCCUCCUGCCAUGACAUGAGCACUUUGCAAGGCCAAGCUCCAGUGAGCAGUUAUGGAAACAAAGUGACCUGGAGGAAUCUGGAUUCCUGUUCCUGUACUGUUAACUCUCAUUUGCUUCUGAUUUAUCCUAACUAAUUGCAAUGCAUGAAGGUCCAGCCCUGCAGCCUCUGGGCUGGCCCUGCCAGGGCCAUCACAGCCAGAACAAUUUCCCAGGCAGUCCAAGUCUCACUGUCCAUGGCUCAGGGGCUCACUGGGCAGGCUCAGGGGCUGCCCCCGGGGAGCGCGGGGCUGGGCGCGGGGGCGAGCGGGCAACGGACAAACGGACACGGGGACAAACGGCCCCGGAGCUUCAGUUGCAGCGGCAGCAGCGGCAGCAGCGGCAGCAGCAGCAAAAGCAGCAAUAGCAGCAACUUUGUGGAGUCCCUCUUACUCCUCCUCUCCCUCUCCCGCUGUCCCGCAGCCUCUCCCGCUCUCCCGUUCCCGCUGUCCCCUCGUCUCCCGGUCUCUCUCUCCCCAUGCCCGGCCGGGCCAUGCCCCCGGCCCGCCCCCGGCCCCGGGCGGGGCUGUCCCGGCCCCGGCCCCGGCCGUCCCGCCGCCGUCUCGCCCCCGCCCGGCUCUGGCCGUGCUGGCGCUGGCGCUGCUGGGCGGGCAUCAGUGCCUGGGGCUGGGGCGGCAUCGCCUCUCUUUGGCUCCGCCUGGCCCGAGCCCGACCCCGGCCCCGGCCCCGGCCCCGGCCCCGGCCCCGGCCCCGCCCGGGCCCCGCGGAGGACACAGGCGGCGCGGCCGCUGCCGCCGCCUCCGCUGCGGCUUCCCCGGCCCGAGCUCCGCCGCUCGGCAGCGCGGCCGCCGGCCCCGAGCCGCCGCUGUCCCGUUGCCAGGAGCGAACGCCUGGGGAUGGCCGGCCCGGGGCGCUUGAGGGGCGCUCGGGGGCCGCUCCUGGCCCCGGGCCGAGCGCUGACAGCCGCGUCCCGCCGGCAGGGAAGGCGCAGCCGGGCCUGAAGGAGCAGUACCGGCUGGGUUCGCUGCUGGGCCGCGGCGGCUUCGGCAGCGUCUUCGCGGCCACGCGGCUCUCGGACGGCGCCCCGGUGGCCAUCAAAAGGGUGCCACGGAACCGCGUCCUGCACUGGGGCGAGCUGCCCGACGGCACCAGCGCACCCCUGGAGGUCGUGCUGCUGGCCAAGGUGUCCACUGGCUUCCCCGGUGUCGUCCAGCUGCUGGAGUGGCUUGAGCUCCCCAACGACAUCGUCAUGGUGCUGGAGCGCCCAAAGCGGUCUCAGGACCUGCACCAUUUCAUUCGGGCACGGGGGUUCCUGUCCGAGGAGGUGGCGCGGGACCUGUUCCGCCAGGUGCUGGAGGCCGUGCAGCACUGCACCAGCUGCGGGGUCCUCCACAGGGACAUCAAACCAGGGAACAUCCUGGUCGACCUGGCCACCCGGCAGGCCAAAUUAAUCGACUUUGGCUGUGGCACCUACCUCCAAGACACAGCCUACAUACACUUUGCAGGAACACGGUCAUACAGCCCCCCGGAAUGGACCCACUUUGGCUGGUACUACGGCAAGCCAGCCACCAUCUGGUCCCUGGGCAUCGUGCUGCACCAGAUGGUCUGCGGGGAGCACCCUUUCAGGGGGUGCCAGAACAUCAGCUGGGACCAUCAGCUCUCGCUGCCACAGCGGCUCUCUCCAGAGUGCCAAGAUGUGAUCAGGAGGUGUUUAUCCAUGCUGGACAUCGAAAGGCCCUCGUUAGAAGAGCUGUUGUGUGACCCCUGGAUGCAGGACAUUCAUCUGCCCUAGAAGAAGGGAGAGAGCCACAGGCACACUCUGAUGCAGGGCCCUGCCCCAGGGAAGGAGAAGGAGCCCCUGGAGAAGCUGUACCAGGUGGGGCUGCUGCUGCUGGAGACAGCGAGGACGACAUCAAGGAUGACAACCUCUUGCUCCACCUGGUCACCGGCAGGCUGAAGAUGACGGCACUUUGAUUCUGGCACCUUCUCCAAAGCCAGGCUCCACAGGGAAUUUGCAGAUGAGUCCACACGCAGGGGAUGCUCCCAGAUUUGGGCAUUGCACAGCCUGGCCGGGAACACAAGGUUCCCCCUUUGCUGGGGCAGAUGCAGCUGAUCCUUCAGUCGGCUGCCCAGCUGCUUUUGGCAGGGCUGGGGGCUUGGGCUGGGGUGGGUACGAAAUGGGAGUGGGCUCCUGGCCCUGCCAACAGCCCCCACCACCCACCAUGCCCCAGGCUGGGGCUGGGGCUGGGGCAGCCAGCGCGACACAAACCAACCCCCAUGGUGGGAGCAGAGGUGGGACUCCAGAACCUGUGCAGGGGCUGCUUUGCUUUGCAGGCAAGGAAGGGCUUGGGCUGCUCCCCUGCCCUUGUUUACUUUGGGAUCACCCUUAUUUUGGGGGGCAGUGCAGGGGGAAGGGAGAAAGCCUGGGCUUCCCUCACCCGUGGGUGGGGUUUUCCCUGGCAUGCAGGGGUUGGGCCUUCCUCAAGCCCCACAGAGAGAGAAGAUUUUUGACCUUUUUUCUUCUUUCCCCUUUUUGUCUGUAAUCUACUUUCAAUCAUUUCUUGUGUGUUUUUCUAGAGGAAGCGUUCUAGGUGGGGUCCAGUCUGGAUUGGGAAGUGCUCGGGAGCAGCUGCAGCAUGGAUGGGCCCUGCCCUUGGAGAAGGCUGAGGACAUCGUUUGGGACCAGCUUUUCUUCCAGGGGUGGAUGGAGUCAGCCGGGCUCUGCGGGUGCUGAGGCUGCUCUGGGCUCUGCCAGGGCUCUGCUGGAGCUCAGCACCGGGCCAGAAUCAGCCAAAGAAGAAAUGGUGUGACCUGCAGCACAGACUUGCUUGAGCAUUUCAGCAACACAGCUCAAGUUUGCAGAGUGUACACCGCCAAGGGAAAACAUGCCACCACCCAAAAAAUAAACUUGUUCAAUAGCUUCUGAAACGAAA